AAAAAGGUAAGCUAAUUUAAGCUACUGGGUUCAUACCCCAAUUAUGGGGGUAAAAAUCCCCCUCUUUUUA
rnacentral:tRNA from 1 species